ACUGAGACUAGAGUCACAUCUAGAUAUUGUCAGUUAUCAUGGUGUGCUAUAGUACUCAGAGAGUAACAACUGACUUCUAUUCACUGACUGUUCUCAUAGUACAGUCAGCCACGAGGUUAGUAACAGUA